rnacentral:rRNA from 1 species
CCUACGGGAGGCAGCAGUGAGGAAUAUUGGUCAAUGGACGAGAGUCUGAACCAGCCAAGUAGCGUGAAGGAUGACUGCCCUAUGGGUUGUAAACUUCUUUUAUAUGGGAAUAAAAUGUUCCUCGCGUGGGAUUUUGUAUGUACCAUAUGAAUAAGGAUCGGCUAACUCCGUGCCAGCAGCCGCGGUAAUACGGAGGAUCCGAGCGUUAUCCGGAUUUAUUGGGUUUAAAGGGAGCGUAGGUGGAUGGUUAAGUCAGUUGUGAAAGUUUGCGGCUCAACCGUAAAACUGCAGUUGAAACUGGCAGGCUUGAGUACAGUAGAGGUGGGCGGAAUUCGUGGUGUAGCGGUGAAAUGCUUAGAUAUCACGAAGAACUCCGAUUGCGAAGGCAGUUCACUGGACUGAAACUGACACUGAGGCUCGAUAGUGUGGGGAUCAAACAGGAUUAGAUACCCUGGUAGUC